GGCCCUCCGCACACGCCAGUCCAGCCCAGCCCAACUCCCGUUCAUACUGCCUCCCGGACCGGCGUCUCCGGCUCCGGCUCCACCGACGUGGCCCGCGACGGCGGCGGCGGCCCUCCUCUCCUGCGUGGCUGCGAACCAUCUCCCCUCGCGCAGUUCGAGCCUUGUAUGGCUGUAUGCGCAGCGCUCUUCAGCGACACCAAUCUCGCCGCGGACUUCCCUUCCCCGGCGUGCUCUGGUAGGUUCCGCCGCAACGUGGACUUCCCCGACCGGGGAUGGCUCUGUCUUCCCCUUCCCCGCGCAACGCCCCCACCACCCGUCCCCGUUCCCGGCGCCGGGGUGAUAUUGUCCCGUCCCCGAUCCCCAUGGGGUGGCUGUCCCCGUUGCAGCUACAGGCUGACAUCUGGAGGAAACUGCCAUUUAUUAAUUUGGAGCAGGAACGGGAGGUCCAUGCGUGUGCCCUCUCAGAAACAGCGGAUGCUAGUGAAGGAAGGCGCUCGGCACAGCCAUGGCUAUGGUGCGCCCGUUCCCGGACCACCUCCCCUACUGUAGCACAGCAUGGUUUCCUUCCUCCUCCCUUUUGAUAGUUGACUUCAGUUUUGCAAAGUUGGAAGGUGGAAGGACUAACACAGUAUAUGGUCUCGUUGAAAGUAGGACCUCGGUGAUCUAAGCAAAUAAGAUAGAAGUUAGGUGGAAGAGAAGGGAAAAUUACAGCAACCACCAAGAAAUGAGAGAUCUAGGAUUUUGGUGGUUCUGCAAGACUACAGAAGAUCCUAUUCAAGGAGCAGUCUGACAACUUCGAAUUUUUACAGCACAUCUUGCUGGUCCUGGACUGCUGGUUCAGGAGGGAUGAAGAAGGUUCCAACAGUUACACCAUUGCCUAUCCUUCUCACCAGAUGCUAUCUGGCAUGGUCCCAUGAAUGAAGUUUCGACAUGCGAUCUAGUUUGUCGGCAUGUGUGCACUUUUUUCAACACCUGCAGUUUGGAAGGCGGCCACUUUAUUCAAGAAACUGCAUCUUGGAAGAGAUUUAUUUAAUUACGAGGAAAGAAAACAAUACUACACUACCCUCACUUUUAUGAGCAAGCAGGAGCUUGGAUGAGAAGACCAAGCUCAAGGUAUGAGCUCAUUGAGAUGGUCCUUUUCUCAAAGGUACACUGUAUUUGGAGCCUUGGACCUUUGACAAGACCUAUUUGUUUUCUGAACAAACAAUAUUCUUCUGUCAUUUGAUAUGGUAUGCAUGUUUUUGUCUCACGAAGAGUAACAUAGUGCACAGUAUUUACCAUUGUCAUAUGUUUAUACAGUUUCGCUUGCUGCGCCUUUAGCGUAUUUGUCGUUUUGUAUAUAUCUUUCAAGCUAGACAAAUAUUUAUUUUGUUUUGUUCAUACAACCUUGUGGCAGUUUUUGUGUUCAUGCUACAGUAUCCAUACCUGAAGUUAUACCGCAGCCUGCAAAAAAUAUAAAUCCAAACACCUCCUGUCUAAUGAUUUAAUAAUGAAACACUCAUUUUCUUAACAUACUAUGGAUAUCUUUGGCUCUAUAGUACUAGAUUACUACAUGCAUUUAAUGUUCUUUUUCUGUUGAUUGCCUUGCCAUCCUCCUCUCUAUUUGUUCUUCUGAUUAUUUUUACUUGACAACGCUUUCUUCUGUGGAUUGAGAAACACAGCCUAGCAGACUCUCUGUCUAUUGAAUACCUAUGAUAAAUAAGUCUCUUCACGUGCAUGACACUUUAUGUAUUUUAUUUUACAAUUCGGCACAACAUAUUAAUAAGAUUUAGUGGGCUCAUCUGAUAGAUCACUAGCCCAGUUACAAUUUGAUACAACAUGUUAGUUGACUCUCCAUGUUCCUCGGUAUUCGUAAGCAACAUGUUAUAUCCAUCAGUGCACAUCAUUGCAGAAAUAAGACAGUCUUUUAAUUAUACAAACUGCAAAGUGAUCAAUCUGUCAAAUGCUAAUCUCCAUCUUUUCCCUAUGCUCAAGCAAUUGAAAUGAUCUCAGUGGCACUUCUUUCAGCAACUGCAUUUGUUGUCGUCAUGCUGUCAGUUCUUGCUGAAGCUGCAUUUGUUGUCAUUUUGACUUCCAGGAAUCUGCUUUCCUGAUGGUAGUCCGUUAGUUUGCACAAGGGAGACGCCACCAAGGAAACAGGACAGGGAGAAGCUCUGACGAAUUUGAGAGUGGUGGGCCCUAAUGACAGCUGUUCAUAUACAGAUGAUUUUUCAAGAGGACGCCAAUUUUGUUCUUUUCAAAACCGAACAUCUCAUGAUCAACUUGGUAGUUGGUACCUUAUAUAGUUCUUAAAAAUAUAUUUGGAGAAUGUGUGGAUUGGAGAGAUUAUGGAUGAGGACUAGCUUGUGUAUGACCUUUCAUUUUUGGGUUAUGUUUAUUAGAAUAGAGUUGUUCCCACUGUCUAGUAUGUAGAUUUUUGUUAUCUGUCAGGACCCAGUCCUGCUACUGCUGAACUGAAGAAACAGACGCUCAAGGAGAAACAGAGAAGUUCAGAUAAGGGACGGCUGAGAUCGAAGCACGACAUGUAAGCCAAGAUGGGCGGCUCGGAUGGCGUUGCCGUACUUUACCGCCAACGUCAGUAACACUGUUACUUUAAACCAACUCCAGACAUUAUUGUAGCUUAGAACCCUAGAUACUGUACUGUAAGCCGGGUCUCCUCCCGUGCAGCUACCUGAUUACCAGCUACCUGAUUACCUUCCGCUUUCAUCGAUUAAUCCAAAUAUUCUCAGUCC